rnacentral:rRNA from 1 species
UACGUAGGGGGCAAGCGUUGUCCGGAAUGACUGGGCGUAAAGGGAGUGUAGGCGGCUUAUCAAGUUAGAUGUGAAAUCCCGCGGCUUAACCGCGGAACUGCAUCUAAAACUGGUAAGCUGGAGUGCAGGAGAGGAAAGUGGAAUUCCUAGUGUAGCGGUGAAAUGCGUAGAUAUUAGGAGGAACACCAGUGGCGAAGGCGGCCGCCUGGCCUGUUGCUGACGCUGAGGCACGAAAGCGUGGGGAGCAAAUAGG